rnacentral:lncRNA from 1 species
CAUUUUAUGUUACACGGCGCGUUCUAACCAAUCGUAUAAGCGUUGGUAGACGAACAUUCUAAUGGCAAGUAAGUGCAUGCACUUUCAACUGUCAACAACGGUCAGUUAAUACUCGGCUUUAUUAUUGUGUUGUCCAGUCAGUUCGGUUCUUGUUUUCCUAUGAGUGAGCUGUUGUCACUCCCAAUUGUUGAAUAAGCGUAUUUGAGGAACUUAUACUGCCUUGGGCUUCUGACUUUUUCCGAACAUUUAUCAUUGGCAACAAAGGUGGGAUUGAUGAGCUCCCGCAGGCUGCCAGAGGCCCAAGAACGCACCACAGCACUGCCACCUGCCGCCUCGCACUAAGCGCGACCUCACCGCCACGCUGGACUCAGCAAAUAGUCCCGGAAAAGAGACCGCACCUGCCACGUCUUCACAACCACCCACAAUCGCACAAGCGACUGCUCCAGGUCUGAGGAUGGCCACCAGUCAUAGUCAGCCGCCACCGGACUUCGAUUAAUUAUUUUUAUUAUUAUUAAUUAUUUAUUUAUUUAUUUAUUUAUACCCCGC